AUGUACUAAACUACUACACAGACAGUCUGUACUGAUCAAAAUCCGAGCAGCGAUACAUUGAUGGUGGAAGCCAUCAAAGCCCUUUUGCUUUGUUAGUCUUCUCCUCAAGAUCUUUUCUCCCUUUUCUUAAAUUUCGCUCGAAUUCCCAAAUCAACCAGCGACAAUGAUGAGAAGCGAUUGGUGAGAUCUAGGGGUUGUUCGCGGGAAGUGAUAAUGCCAAGGCAAAUCAGGAGUGUGGAGAAUUUGCUGCAA